CAAUAGCGUAUAUUUAAGUUGUUGCAGUUAAAAAGCUCGUAGUUGGAUUUCGGGUGGGACGCAGCGGUCUCGCAUUGCGUUUGUACUGCUGCAGCCCUCCUUCUUGCCGGGGGCGGCCUCUCGGACUUCGCUGUCUGGGGGUCAGAAUCGGCGAUGUUACUUUGAGUAAAUUAGAGUGUUCAAAGCAAGCUUACGCUCUGAAUAUAAUAGCAUGGGAUAACACGACAGGACUCUGGCCUAUCGUGUUGGUCUAUAGGACCAGAGUAAUGAUUAAGAGGGACAGUCGGGGGCAUUCGUAUUCCGUUGUCAGAGGUGAAAUUCUUGGAUUUACGGAAGACGAACAUCUGCGAAAGCAUUUGCCAAGGAUGUUUUCAUUGA
rnacentral:rRNA from 1 species